CAAAGAUUAGUAAUCUAGCAGCUAUUUUAGCUAUAUAAACAAAAAUCAAGCUGUUUCUGUUGCCCCCCCCCCCUUCAAGCUCUCACACUCAAACAGCCAUGAGCACACUGCUUUAUUUCACUUCUUUCUUAGUAGUUAGCUUUCUCUUGGUUUUUGCCUCGACAGAACAGAAAUGGUUCAUGAGAAAUUAUUCCCUGAUUGCUAUUUCCACCGGUCUAAAAACAUAUCCACUCACAAAGCUUUGGUCGGCCCGAGGCUAUAGUGGAAAACCCUUGCCCUAGGUGCCACGCAGUGGAACAGAACCUGGAACCAUGUGGUUGAGAAGCAAGCUUCUUACCACACGGCCACGCCUGAAGACACAAAAUAUGCUUCAACACACGAACUCACAUAAAGAAUCUUGGAAACCAAAUCCAAAAACGAAGUAUGUAUAUAUAUAUCUAUAUAUAAUGAGAGGUAUUGGUGUCAAGAAGACCCAAAGAUGUCAGGUAAUGCUGAGUAAGUGCCAUGGACAGACUAAUUCUAGCACUUCUUUAUUUGAAGAUUAUUAAAACAAAAAUUCAAAAUUACUGAACAAAACUAUUUGACUACUGUUGCUUUUUGUUAAAUUGACAUUAGAGUGCAUAAUGGU